CUGUAUUGGGUCUGGUCAUGCUUAUAUUAAAUAACUGCUAAAUGUUCCAGAGUUGGUUAGCUGGGCAUUACAAAUGCUGAAGGUUUGAAAUAUAAUGGUCUGUAUUGGGUCUGGUCAUGCUUAUAUUAAAUAACUGCUAAAUGUUCCAGAGUUGGUUAGCUGGGCAUUACAAAUGCUGAAGGUUUGAAAUAUAAUGGUCUGUAUUGGGUCUGGUCAUGCUUAUAUUAAAUAACUGCUAAAUGUUCCAGAGUUGGUUAGCUGGGCAUUA